rnacentral:rRNA from 1 species
UACGAGGGGGGCAAGCGUUGUUCGGAAUUACUGGGUGUAAAGGGUUCGUAGGCGGUGUGGCAAGUCGGGAGUGAAAUCCCUGGGCUUAACCCAGGGGCUGCUUCCGAAACUGCUGUGCUUGAGUGUGGGAGAGGCGCGUGGAAUUGCAGGUGUAGCGGUGAAAUGCGUAGAUAUCUGCAGGAACACCCGUGGCGAAAGCGGCGCGCUGGACCACUACUGACGCUGAGGAACGAAAGCUAGGGGAGCAAACAGG